rnacentral:other from 1 species
GCGGGGCUGCCCGGCGCGCCCAGGCAAUUUAUCCCCGGGGCCAAUAAGCAACCUCCGGGAGCUGGCUCUGUCCGGAUCGUGGUUCGGAUACCCGGCGCCCACCUGCAUUAGCAGGCCUUGGGAGGAUGAUACGCCAGCGGCCAUGGCGGCUCCGCA